UGGGGAAUAUUGGACAAUGGGCGAAAGCCUGAUCCAGCCAUGCCGCGUGUGUGAAGAAGGUCUUCGGAUUGUAAAGCACUUUAAGUUGGGAGGAAGGGCAGUAAGCGAAUACCUUGCUGUUUUGACGUUACCGACAGAAUAAGCACCGGCUAACUCUGUGCCAGCAGCCGCGGUAAUACAGAGGGUGCAAGCGUUAAUCGGAAUUACUGGGCGUAAAGCGCGCGUAGGUGGUUCGUUAAGUUGAAUGUGAAAGCCCCGGGCUCAACCUGGGAACUGCAUCAAAAACUGGCGAGCUAGAGUAGGGCAGAGGGUGGUGGAAUUUCCUGUGUAGCGGUGAAAUGCGUAGAUAUAGGAAGGAACACCAGGGGCGAAGGCGACCACCUGGGCUCAUACUGACACUGAGGUGCGAAAGCGUGGGGAGCAAACAGG
rnacentral:rRNA from 1 species